rnacentral:rRNA from 1 species
AUCGAACGCUGGCGGCAUGCCUUACACAUGCAAGUCGAACGGCAGCGGGGGAGAAGCUUGCUUUUCCUACCGGCGAGUGGCGAACGGGUGAGUAAUACAUCGGAACGUGCCCUGUAGUGGGGGAUAACUAGUCGAAAGAUUAGCUAAUACCGCAUACGACCUGAGGGUGAAAGUGGGGGACCGCAAGGCCUCAUGCUAUAGGAGCGGCCGAUGUCUGAUUAGCUAGUUGGUGGGGUAAAGGCCUACCAAGGCGACGAUCAGUAGCUGGUCUGAGAGGACGAUCAGCCACACUGGGACUGAGACACGGCCCAGACUCCUACGGGAGGCAGCAGUGGGGAAGUUUGGACAAUGGGCGAAAGCCUGAUCCAGCAAUGCCGCGUGUGUGAAGAAGGCCCUCGGGUUGUAAAGCACUUUUGUCCGGAAAGAAAUGGCUCUGGUUAAUACCUGGGGUCGAUGACGGUACCGGAAGAAUAAGGACCGGCUAACUACGUGCCAGCAGCCGCCGUAACAC